AUCCUCACCAUUAAAUGCAAUGCCAAGAUAUUUUCAUAACUCAGAGUAAGUAUUGCCGGCGAGGAAAUUUCUGACAACUAAUGGUGUCAUCACCAAAGCUAACACUUCGAGCUCCAGUCCACAGCAAAUUUCGAGAAAUUUAGUGUUAGGUGUUGUACUUUGAAAUUUAGCUGGAACAAGGUUUCCCUACAGUACAAGAGCCCAAAAAACAACUGAUUUAUAUCAUCCAUAGUUCUUUAGGUAAUAAGUAUCUCGAAUCUGCUUCAUAAUAAGGCCAAUCAUUAGAAUAAUAGAAUGUAAUGUGUGUGUGGAGUAUUCUUCCAAGCCUCUGAGCCACGACAGCAUGUUCCUGGAACACAACAAAUAAAACAACCGAAAAGAAUAUAAAUGUGAAGCAUAGCCCGUCUAAUUCAAUUAAAUCACUGAACCACAUCCAUUGCAAGGCAAUAUAAUCCAAAUACAUAAAAUGAAUAUUCAGUGAAUUCAAAUCUCCUAUAUACUUUCUUUCAGCGACUGAUCAAACACCAGAAAGUAAAGGCCAAAUCACCACCCAGAUAAACAUUUCAAAUUUUUUGAGAAUACACAUUUAGAACUUAGCAACAGAUAAUUCAGCGAUUAAAAAUAACGACUCUCUGAUUGUGGUAAAAAUUAUAAGCUAUAAUACAUUGUCCAAUGUUGAAUAGCCUCUCCAUCUCUUGAAAGUCUAAGAAUAUCUAUAGAAGGCACAAGCUAUAAUUGGCUCUUUGACAAAUUGACAUCAACAAACCUCUCUAAGAUCCGCUCCUGAAACCAAAUUGUCAGAUGCAAGCACAUAUCAAUAGCAUGAUAUAUAAUAUCCAUACAGAAUCAGCAAUAGUAAAAAGAAAGGCAAAAGGACUGAAAACUAUAGGUAUCUUCGGGUCAAAAGACUGGAGUCGGUUAGCUGGCGAGGGGGAAAAGUGGGGAAAUUGUCAGGCUGUUGCAUUAUGUGGUGAAAAGCAGUGUGCAUGUGAGGAGACUCAAGUUAUUUUCUCAUUAUUGUAUCAUUCUACAUUAUUCCAAUCAUACUGCCUCCCAAAUCGAUUAAAAUGGAAAUCUAGUUAGAUGAAAUUUUAAGGUUCCAGAAAUAUAUCUUGCCAUUUUUUGACCUUUUCAUGAUCCUAUUACUUCAUCUAUUUGAGUUCUAGUUAAGCUUUUUUCUUUUCCAUGGCUGCUGAAAUUGAUUCAAUAAUCCAACCACAGGAUAUGAGAUCAUUCAGGAACUAAUUAAUUUGAGAAAGAAAUAAUUUGAAAAUGCAUUAAUUCGUGAAAAUAUUAAACUCAUCAAUAAUCAGAUGACGA
rnacentral:lncRNA from 1 species